CUGUAAAUGACUCCUAAAUGUGUAUUAAGGUCUGUUUAUAAGGUAAUUACUUUCUGCAAGCUUUUAUUUUGAAAGUCGCCUUUUUACAUUACGUGACUUUUAUUUUGACGCCACCUCCUGGCGGAAGAAGGAUAGUGCUACGCUGAUUUACUGAAGGAGGGAAAGCACGCAAUUGCGCUGCUUUAUGUCAUCAUAAACUGAUAAUUAAGCGCCUAGCCAGUACGGGAACAAGCUCUUACGGUGUUUUCUGAAGAAAAGGUGUUUUAAGGAAGAAAGGUGUUUUCUGAAGGAAGGAUUUUACAGAAAGCAAAGUGAAUUUGUGUUCAAAAUAUGGCUGACGGCUGAACAUAAAUAAAAGGCUUCUGAAACAUCA